rnacentral:rRNA from 1 species
CGCGUAGGCGGUUCGCUAAGUUGAAUGUGAAAACUCUGGGCUUAACCCAGAGCCUGCAUCCAAAACUGGCGAACUGGAGUACUGGAGGGGAAAGCGGAAUUCCUGGUGUAGCGGUGAAAUGCGUAGAUAUCAGGAGGAACACCGGUGGCGAAGGCGGCUUUCUGGACAGUAACUGACGCUGAGGCGCGAAAGGCCGGGGGGAGAAACA